GAUGAACGCUGGCGGCGUGCUUAACACAUGCAAGUCGAACGAUGAAGCCCAGCUUGCUGGGUGGAUUAGUGGCGAACGGGUGAGUAACACGUGAGUAACCUGCCCUUAACUCUGGGAUAAGCCUGGGAAACUGGGUCUAAUACCGGAUAGGAGCGCCUACCGCCUGGUGUGUGUUGGGAAGAUUUAUCGGUUUUGGAUGGACUCGCGGCCUAUCAGCUUGUUGGUGAGGUAAUGGCUCACGAAGGCGACGACGGGUAGCCGGCCUGGGAGGGUGACCGGGCACACUAGGACUAAGACACGGCCCAGACUCCAACGGGAGACAGCAGUGGGGAAUAUUACACAAUGGGCGCAAGCCGGAUGCAGCGACGCUGCGUGAGGGAAGACGGCCUUCGGGUUGUAAACCGCUUUCAGUAGGGAAGAAGCGAAAGUGACGGUACCUGCAGAAGAAGCACCGGCUAACUACGUG
rnacentral:rRNA from 1 species